GGCGCUAUAGCCAAGUGGUUACGGCGACAGAUUAGAAUGGGAUUCCAACCUUCCGAAACCUGCUAUCUGUUCCUCUUUGAGGGCGCAAGUUCAAAUCUUGCUGGCGUCG